AUUGAACGCUGGCGGCAGGCUUAACACAUGCAAGUCGAGCGAGCGGCGGACGGGUGAGUAAUGUCUGGGAAACUGCCUGAUGGAGGGGGAUAACUAAUGGAAACGGUAGCUAAUACCGCAUACCAUCAGAUGUGCCCAGAUGGGAUUGGCUAGUAGGUGGGGGAAUGGCUCACCUAGGCGACGAUCCCUAGCUGGUCUGAGAGGAGGACCAGUCACACUGGAACUGAGACACGGUCCAGACUCCGACGGUAGGCAGCAGUGGGGAAGUGUGCACAAUGGGCGCAAGCCUGAUGCAGCCAUGCCGCGUGUAUGAAGAAGGCCUUCGGGUUGUAAAGUACUUUCAGCGGGGAGGCGUUACCCGCAGAAGAAGCACCGGCUAACUCCGUGCCAGCAGCCGCGGUAAUUC
rnacentral:rRNA from 1 species